rnacentral:rRNA from 1 species
AUUGAACGCUGGCGGCAGGCCUAACACAUGCAAGUCGAGCGCGUGGCGGACGGGUGAGUAUUGUCUGGGACACUGCCUGAUGGAGGGGGAUCACUACUGGAAACGUUAGCUAAUACCGCUUACGAUCGGCUGUGCCCAGAUGGGAUUAGCUAGUAGGUGGGGUACCGGCUCACCAAGGCGACGAUCCUUAUCUGGUCUGAGAGGAUGACCAGCCACACUGGAACUGAGACACGGUCCAGACUCCUACGGGAGGCAGCAGUGGGGAAUAUUGCACAAUGGGCGAAAGCCUGAUGCAGCCAUGCCGCGUGUGUAAAGAAGGCCUUCGGGUUGUAAAGUACUUUAAGCGGGGAGGCGUUACCCGCAGAAGAAGCACCGGCUAACUUCGUGCCAGCAGCCGCGGUAAUAC